rnacentral:lncRNA from 1 species
AAUAUAAGUGGAGGCGUCGCGCUGGCGGGCAUUCCUGAAGCUGACAGCAUUCGGGCCGAGAUGUCUCGCUCCGUGGCCUUAGCUGUGCUCGCGCUACUCUCUCUUUCUGGCCUGGAGGCUAUCCAGCAUGAGUAUGCCUGCCGUGUGAACCAUGUGACUUUGUCACAGCCCAAGAUAGUUAAGUGGGGUAAGUCUUACAUUCUUUUGUAAGCUGCUGAAAGUUGUGUAUGAGUAGUCAUAUCAUAAAGCUGCUUUGAUAUAAAAAAGGUCUAUGGCCAUACUACCCUGAAUGAGUCCCAUCCCAUCUGAUAUAAACAAUCUGCAUAUUGGGAUUGUCAGGGAAUGUUCUUAAAGAUCAGAUUAGUGGCACCUGCUGAGAUACUGAUGCACAGCAUGGUUUCUGAACCAGUAGUUUCCCUGCAGUUGAGCAGGGAGCAGCAGCAGCACUUGCACAAAUACAUAUACACUCUUAACACUUCUUACCUACUGGCUUCCUCUAGCUUUUGUGGCAGCUUCAGGUAUAUUUAGCACUGAACGAACAUCUCAAGAAGGUAUAGGCCUUUGUUUGUAAGUCCUGCUGUCCUAGCAUCCUAUAAUCCUGGACUUCUCCAGUACUUUCUGGCUGGAUUGGUAUCUGAGGCUAGUAGGAAGGGCUUGUUCCUGCUGGGUAGCUCUAAACAAUGUAUUCAUGGGUAGGAACAGCAGCCUAUUCUGCCAGCCUUAUUUCUAACCAUUUUAGACAUUUGUUAGUACAUGGUAUUUUAAAAGUAAAACUUAAUGUCUUCCUUUUUUUUCUCCACUGUCUUUUUCAUAGAUCGAGACAUGUAAGCAGCAUCAUGGAGGUUUGAAGAUGCCGCAUUUGGAUUGGAUGAAUUCCAAAUUCUGCUUGCUUGCUUUUUAAUAUUGAUAUGCUUAUACACUUACACUUUAUGCACAAAAUGUAGGGUUAUAAUAAUGUUAACAUGGACAUGAUCUUCUUUAUAAUUCUACUUUGAGUGCUGUCUCCAUGUUUGAUGUAUCUGAGCAGGUUGCUCCACAGGUAGCUCUAGGAGGGCUGGCAACUUAGAGGUGGGGAGCAGAGAAUUCUCUUAUCCAACAUCAACAUCUUGGUCAGAUUUGAACUCUUCAAUCUCUUGCACUCAAAGCUUGUUAAGAUAGUUAAGCGUGCAUAAGUUAACUUCCAAUUUACAUACUCUGCUUAGAAUUUGGGGGAAAAUUUAGAAAUAUAAUUGACAGGAUUAUUGGAAAUUUGUUAUAAUGAAUGAAACAUUUUGUCAUAUAAGAUUCAUAUUUACUUCUUAUACAUUUGAUAAAGUAAGGCAUGGUUGUGGUUAAUCUGGUUUAUUUUUGUUCCACAAGUUAAAUAAAUCAUAAAACUUGAUGUGUUAUCUCUU